UCCGCCACUUGUGUGGUUUUCUUUUCUUUCUUUCUUUUUUUUUUUUUAUUUGUUUGUUUGUGUAAGAUGGGGACAUCGCACUGGCUAACGGGCCUCGGGAGCCUCCAGGCCCUGAGCUAUACCGAAGGGGCCUUUCUUGCAAGGUGGAAAGGCGAGAGAGAAACUCAGAUGCUGCUUCUGCCCCCGUGCCUGGAGUGGGAAGCCUCUCUAGUGGUGUAGCCUCUUGAGUUCCGAUGGUCCUGGGGCGGCGGAGGAGGAACCCGAGCCACUCUUGUGAAGUUGCAAGCCCUGGUUUCUACUUCCGCCGGGCCCCCUCUACCUUUUGCCGUUUUGUUUUAGGUCUUCACUUCAAAGUUUCAUAGAAGAAAUAAGUUGGGUUAAAAGAAACCCGGUAGUUCUUAAUUGAGGUACUGUUUGCUUAGGAGAAAAGCUUAUAAUUCUUGUUAUCUGUAGGCCCUUCGGGAAAUCUAAUUGUAAUUUUAUUUUUGUAAAAUUAUUUCUAAGGUUUUGUUAUUUGCAUUUACGUUAGAUCCAAUCAGUACGCUUUUACCUCCAAAAGAAAAUAAAAAUAAAUAAAUCUUACACAUAGGUACUUUCUUGGAAAUCCUAGGGGGACAUCUCCACUUUUCAACAUCUGGGAAGACAAGUGUUAAGAGUGUUUUGCUUCAUUUUCAUUAAAUCCUUAGUCAAAGAUUUCUCUUUAAUCAUCUGGACAGUUCCUAAUAAAAUACAGCAAUAUGAUCCUUAGAUUAUUGGCAAAUGGUAGAACGUUAACCAGAUCUGUUCACAAGGGACACACUUAAUGUUCAAAACUGAAUACAUUUUCUAUUACUCUCUAUAGUGAGAAGUUUUAGGGAGAUGGAAUCGUGUUCCUAUAGAUUUCCCUUUCCAAAUAAGUGGGUGGUAACUUUCACAACAGUUUUAUGUUUGGGAAUGCUUUGUAUAUUCAACAACAGUUCCUUCUCAGAAGUCACCUUUGUAGUUUUGUAAGGUAAUUUUAUUCCAAGUUGGAAGUGUUUAAAAAUCCAGUACACUGAAAUGGUUGUCUACAUUCAAAUAUUUGUCUGUGUUCAGGUUUUGUGUCUUUAAUAUGUUUUCUAAAUGGUCCCUUGUGCUCUGCCUAUCCAGUCUGUUGUCAUCUUAAAGCUAAAGGAAAAGUUCAAAAUGCACAGACAACUUCUUCCACUUUUCACUUUUGCUGACUUUGCAAGAUCCUUAAUUUUAAAGUGAAACCUUUUCAUUUUUAAAAAAGUGCCUGUUUUUGUUUUUAACUCUAGACCAGAAAUAAAGACUGUAUUUGACUUUUAUUUUUUUAUUUUUUGCAUUCCUAUUAAUGCUUUAUUGACACACAUAAGGUAGUGCAUGUGUUGGCAGAGCACUUUGGUUCUCAGAUGCAGUCUAGAGAUACCUGUAACCUUACCAGAUGCUCCAGGCUGAGAGUGGCCUGCACAUUAACGUAUCAGUAAAUACAGCCUUUCUAAAGUGCUUACAAAUAAAUGGUGUAUGGUGGAAAAUGAAGCAGAUUGAUGUCUGUGAGUGGUUUAUAGCCUAGCCAUCUGAGAACUAUUUGAUUUGAAAAUGAAAUCAAACUCCAAAUAAUAGGCUCCCUAAAAUAAUAAUUACCUUUAAUUUCCCUAUAUAAAGGUAGGUGCUUUUUGGUUUUUCAGAGAUGCCUUAGGUUUAUUUAAAACUUC
rnacentral:lncRNA from 1 species